rnacentral:rRNA from 1 species
AUACGGAGGGUGCAAGCGUUAAUCGGAAUUACUGGGCGUAAAGCGCUCGUAGGCGGCUUGUUAAGUCGGAUGUGAAAGCCCUGGGCUUAACCUGGGAAUGGCAUUCGAUACUGCAGAACUAGAGUAUGGUAGAGGGAAGUGGAAUUUCCGGUGUAGCGGUGAAAUGCGUAGAUAUCGGAAGGAACACCAGUGGCGAAGGCGGCUUUCUGGACUGCAACUGACGCUGAGGCGCGAAAGCGUGGGGAGCAAACAGGAUUAGAAACCCGAGUAGUCC